rnacentral:lncRNA from 1 species
CUCUGCUCUCCUGUGGUUGAUACAGAAACAGAGGUGUCUUUUAACACACUUCCAGCAGGAACAAUGCCCGCUGUGUGCACUCAGCAGUGCCCUCAUCAGCCUGAGGAUUGCAGAGGAUGCACGAGGAGAGGACGCUCAUCACAAGAAGAGGUCCCAGCACUUCUCUUUGGGAACACUUUCUGCUGUUGAUAUCAGUCAGGCUACAGUGCUCCCUCUUUUUCCUGGAGGAAGACCUGGUUCAUUCUGCAAGGUAUUCCUGUUAUUGCAGUGGUCAGGGACCAGGCCAUUGCUUAUGAGGUUGCCAAUAACCUAGGAACAAAUAGACAAACUGAGAAUUAGGCUAAAAUAAUUGAAACCUAACCUCAUUCCAGAACUUUCUUAGUUUCCCAUUCAUGCAGGUGAUGGCUGGGAUGUCAUAAGAUGCUGAGUUGGCUCAGACUCCUGUGUUCAUUUGUAUUGGAGAGGCUGAUGUGAAAUCAGAAGAUAUCUGUCUGGAAGACCAGAUAUCUUGAUGCUGUCUCUGGCAAGAUACCUCCAGAUGAACAGAAGAUUGAAUCAUAGAAUCACAGAAUAUCCUGAACUGGAAGACACCCGCAAGGAUCAUCGUGUUCAUCUCCUGGCGCCACACAGGACCACCCAAAAAUCAGACCAUGUGUCUGACAGCAUUGUCCAAAUGCUUCUUGAACUCCAGCAGGCUCCGUGCCGUGACCACUGCUCUGGGGAGCCUCCUCCAGUGAUUGAAAAGAUACAUGAACAGCUACUGCCCUGUCGUGGGGCUGGCAAGUAACACAAGCUUUCAGAAGAGCUUUUAGUUGAGAGUCUAGUCCUGAGCAGCAGCACAGAUUGGAUAAACAUAUUUUUUUUUACUGAUGGCCCCUUGAAAUCAUCAUGAGCCAUGUAGGCAUGCUUUCCAAUAUGCUCCCCUAAAUAAGAAGUUGAUAAAUAGCUUCUAUCACACGUUUGUCCUGCAGGGACAAUUUACUCUGGAAUUUACAGAAGUGCGACAGUGGAGCUGGCUCAGGGCUUGGAACUGUUAAGCCAUUUUGGUGUCAGAAAACCACAUUGUUUUUAUUGAAUCAGACAUGCUAAGCAAAGCUCUUUAUAUUGCUUUCCUGCAGCUGCAGUCAGUCUGUAUGUUUGUGCAAUAAGUGCACUGUCAUCAUCCAUCAGAGUAGGUGUCAAGGAACAUGAGCAGGCGAGACAAGCAGCCAGCUUUUACAUCUCUUCUGGAUCGGUGUCAUAUAUAAACAUAUUCAUCACUGACCGUAGGCCAAUUCAUAUCUGCACGCAAUGGACCUGUUCAUUGUUCACAGCGUGGUCAGAGGGCUGUGGUCUGUGUGCAGCAGGAAUCCACGGCUCCGUGGCUUUCUGAGACCUAAGGACGAGAUUCUUUUUCUACAAGAGACUGCUCACUCUUUUCUCCUCCGAGAAGUGACUUUCUCCAUGCUGUCUUGAUGAAGCUGAGCCCAUCCAGUUCCAAUUCAUCAUCAGUAAAUUGUAGAUAAUCCGGGAUCACCAGUGUAAAUCCUGGGCUGUUCAUGAUCAUCACUUCAAAUAUUUCUGCAGCAUCCAUCUAGGGCAAAUUUGGGAUUCCUCAAAGUGAUAUUUUUAAUAGUUCUACAGCUGAAGUGAAGAAAGGGAUAAGCUUUGCAUAGUCAUAUAUUUCUAAAAAACAAACAAAUAAACAAACAAAUAUAAUGUUUGCA